rnacentral:rRNA from 3 species
CAAAACUUUCAACAACGGAUCUCUUGGUUCUGGCAUCGAUGAAGAACGCAGCGAAAUGCGAUAAGUAAUGUGAAUUGCAGAAUUCAGUGAAUCAUCGAAUCUUUGAACGCACAUUGCGCCCGCCAGCAUUCUGGCGGGCAUGCCUGUUCGAGC